AUGCUACCACUACCCGUCCACCUGUCCUUCAUGCGCGGCCACUACUGGGCGGGCACGAAGGCCAACUGGAUCGUCCUCAUCCACCACACCGUACCUUAUAACUGGAAUUACCGAUGCAAGUCGAAGAAGGAUUGGCCGGUGCUGCCGGCUGGCGUCAAGUUCGAUCCCACGGAUAAGGAGCUGAUCGAGCACCUUGAGGCCAAAGUGAGUGCUGACAGCGCGAGAUUUCAGUCUCUCAUCGAUUUGUUCAUACCAACCAUCAGCAGCGAGCACGACAUAUGCUACACCCAACCAGAGAAACUUCCAGGUAUCACACUGAGUGGCCUAAGGAAGCAUUUCUUCCAGUGCAAUUCCAGGGCGUUCAAAAGGGGCACGUGGACGCGUCGCAAGAUACAGUCGGAGUGCGGCAUGCACGCGAUGUGGCACAAGACCGGCAAUACCUUGCCGGUGAUGGUCAACGGCCGGCAGACGGGCAGCAAAAAAGUUGUACUACCUUGUCGUCCGCAAUUUGGUAUUGUUGUUAACGAUCUUUUGGCCCAGCCCAUCACGACAACGGGGCACAAAGAUCCAGCAGGUCUCUACUGGCCUCUGGCUUGCCAGCGUUAG
rnacentral:rRNA from 1 species